UGGGGAAUCUUGCGCAAUGGGCGAAAGCCUGACGCAGCGACGCCGCGUGUGGGAUGACGGCCUUCGGGUUGUAAACCACUGUCGGGAGGGACGAAAAAAUGACGGUACCUCCAAAGGAAGCACCGGCUAACUCUGUGCCAGCAGCCGCGGUAAUACAGAGGGUGCGAGCGUUGUCCGGAAUUACUGGGCGUAAAGGGCGCGUAGGCGGCCCGAUAAGUCGGGGGUGAAAUUCAGCGGCUCAACCGCUGGACUGCCUUCGAGACUGUCAGGCUCGAGCACGGUAGAGGCUGGUGGAAUUCCCGGUGUAGCGGUGGAAUGCGUAGAGAUCGGGAAGAACAUCGGUGGCGAAGGCGGCCAGCUGGGCCGUUGCUGACGCUGAGGCGCGACAGCGUGGGGAGCAAACAGGAUUAGAUACCCUGGUAGUCCACGCCGUAAACGAUGGGUACUAGGCGUCGGGGGGAGCGGACCCCUUCGGUGCCGUCGUUAACACAGUAAGUACCCCGCCUGGGGAGUACGGCCG
rnacentral:rRNA from 1 species